AUUGAACGCUGGCGGCAGGCCUAACACAUGCAAGUCGAGCGGAUGAAGGGAGCUUGCUCCUGGAUUCAGCGGCGGACGGGUGAGUAAUGCCUAGGAAUCUGCCUGGUAGCGGGGGAUAACGUCCGGAAACGGGCGCUAAUAUCGCAUACGUCCUGAGGGAGCCAGUGGGGGAUCUUCCGACCUCACGCUAUCAGAUGAGCCUAGGUUGGAUGAGCUAGUUGGUGGGGUAAAGGCCUUCCAAGGCGACGAUCCGUAACUGGUCUGAGAGGAUGAUCAGUCACACUGGAACUGAGGCACGGCCCAGACACCUACGGGAGGCAGCGGUCGGGAAUAUUGCAGGAUGGGCGAAAGGCUGAUCCAGCCAUGCCGGGGGUAUGAAGAAGGUCUUCGGAUUGUAAAGCACUUUAAGUUGGGAGGAAGGGCAGUAAGUUUAUACCUUGCUGUUUUGACGUUACCGAGAGAAUAAGCACCGGCUAACUUCGUG
rnacentral:rRNA from 1 species